AGUGGCAGACGGGUGAGUAACGCGUGGGAACAUACCCCUCGGUUCGGAAUAACUCAGGGAAACUUGAGCUAAUACCGGAUACGUCCGAGGUCUUAAUCGGCCUUGGAGAAAGAUUUAUCGCCGGAGGAUUGGCCCGCGUCUGAUUAGCUUGUUGGUGAGGUAAUGGCUCACCAAGGCGACGAUCAGUAGCUGGUCUGAGAGGAUGAUCAGCCACAUUGGGACUGAGACACGGCCCAAACUCCUACGGGAGGCAGCAGUGGGGAAUAUUGGACAAUGGGCGAAAGCCUGAUCCAGCCAUGCCGCGUGAGUGAUGAAGGCCUUAGGGUUGUAAAGCUCUUUUACCCGGGAAGAUAAUGACGGUACCGGGAGAAUGAGCCCCGGCUAACUUCGUGCCAGCAGCCGCGGUAAUACGAAGGGGGCUAGCGUUGUUCGGAAUUACUGGGCGUAAAGCGCACGUAGGCGGAUCCUUAAGUCAGGGGUGAAAUCCCGAGGCUCAACCUCGGAACUGCCUUUGAUACUGGGGAUAUCGAGUCCGGGAGAGGUGAGUGGAACUGCGAGUGUAGAGGUGAAAUUCGUAGAUAUUCGCAAGAACACCAGUGGCGAAGGCGGCUCACUGGCCCGGUACUGACGCUGAGGUGCGAAAGCGUGGGGAACAAACAGGAUUAGAUACCCUGGUAGUCCACGCCGUAAACGAUGGAUGCUAGCCGUUAGACAGCUUGCUGUUUAGUGGCGCAGUUAACGCGUUAAGCAUCCCGCCUGGGGAGUACGGUCGCAAGAUUAAAACUCAAAGGAAUUGACGGGGGCCCGCACAAGCGGUGGAGCAUGUGGUUUAAUUCGAAGCAACGCGAAGAACCUUACCAGCUCUUGACAUGUCUCGUAUGGGGACCGGAGACGGUUUCCUUCAGUUCGGCUGGCGAGAACACAGGUGCUGCAUGGCUGUCGUCAGCUCGUGUCGCGAGAUGUUGGGUUAAGUCCCGCAACGAGCGCAACCCUCGCCCUUAGUUGCCAUCAUUCAGUUGGGCCCU
rnacentral:rRNA from 1 species